CAGUAGCCGCGGUAAUACGUAGGGUGCAAGCGUUAAUCGGAAUUACUGGGCGUAAAGCGUGCGCAGGCGGUUAUAUAAGACAGAUGUGAAAUCCCCGGGCUCAACCUGGGAACUGCAUUUGUGACUGUAUAGCUAGAGUACGGCAGAGGGGGAUGGAAUUCCGCGUGUAGCAGUGAAAUGCGUAGAUAUGCGGAGGAACACCGAUGGCGAAGGCAAUCCCCUGGGCCUGUACUGACGCUCAUGCACGAAAGCGUGUGGAGCAAACAGGAUUAGAUACCCGAGUAGUCCCUGUCUCUUAUAC
rnacentral:rRNA from 1 species